rnacentral:rRNA from 1 species
CCUACGGGGGGCAGCAGUGGGGAAUAUUGGACAAUGGGCGAAAGCCUGAUCCAGCCAUGCCGCGUGUGUGAAGAAGGCCUUCGGGUUGUAAAGCACUUUCAGUGGGGAAGAAAGCCUUGGGGCUAAUACCCUCGAGGAAGGACAUCACCCACAGAAGAAGCACCGGCUAACUCCGUGCCAGCAGCCGCGGUAAUACGGAGGGUGCGAGCGUUAAUCGGAAUUACUGGGCGUAAAGCGCGCGUAGGCGGUCUGAUAAGCCGGGUGUGAAAGCCCCGGGCUCAACCUGGGAACGGCAUCCGGAACUGUCAGGCUAGAGUGCAGGAGAGGAAGGUAGAAUUCCCGGUGUAGCGGUGAAAUGCGUAGAGAUCGGGAGGAAUACCAGUGGCGAAGGCGGCCUUCUGGACUGACACUGACGCUGAGGUGCGAAAGCGUGGGUAGCAAACAGGAUUAGAUACCCCAGUAGUC